rnacentral:lncRNA from 1 species
UAGGCUCAGGGACUAAAUUGAAUAAAAGUAAAACUUUAUGGGCAAUUUUGUAAACAUGUCAGAAAUGACCAAAUUGCAUGAAAUGGAUUAUUUUAUUAUUUAAAUUACAAAGUUGAAUGAAAUUAUUAAUUUAGUUCAAGAUCGGGGGGAAAACAUGUUUUAGGGAUUAAAUUGAAAAGUGUUGAAAUUAUGGAAAAUUCUGAUAUUUU